rnacentral:rRNA from 1 species
GGGAAAACCUGGACCGACCUUCGGGGAGCUUGUACAGGUGCUGCAUGGCUGUCGUCAGCUCGUGUCGUGAGAUGUUCGGUUAAGUCCGCUAACGAGCGCAACCCUCGCUGUGUGUUACAAGUGUCACACGGAACUGCCGGUCAUAAACCCGGAGGAAGGUGGGAUGACGUCAAGUCAGCAUGGCCUUUAUAUCCUGGGCUACACACACGCUACAAUGGGAAGGGACAAUAGGUUGCGAAGCCGCGAGGCGGAGCCAAUCCAGCAAAACUUCCCUCAGUUCAGAUUGCAGGCUGCAACCCGCCUGCAUGAAGUUGGAGUGCUAGUAAACGCAGGUCAGCCAUACUGCGUUGAAUACGUUCCCGGGCUU